rnacentral:rRNA from 1 species
UACGUAGGGGGCAAGCGUUAUCCGGAUUUACUGGGUGUAAAGGGGGCGCAGACGGCGAUGCAAGCCAGGAGUGAAAGCCCGGGGCCCAACCCCGGGACUGCUCUUGGAACUGCGUGGCUGGAGUGCAGGAGGGGCAGGCGGAAUUCCUGGUGUAGCGGUGAAAUGCGUAGAUAUCAGGAGGAACACCGGUGGCGAAGGCGGCCUGCUGGACUGUAACUGACGUUGAGGCCCGAAAGCGUGGGGAGCAAACAGG